ensembl:lincRNA
UCUCUCUAAUGGAGGCAAAAACAACGACAACAAAAAUAUGGGCUACAAGGUUCCUCCGCACUUGUGCCUUGGCGCAACAGCAGUAAUUACACAGAUUAGAAAUAGUGCUUAAAAAAUCCUCUUUCCCAUGUGCCCCACCUCACUUCCUAGGGCCCCUCGUGGCUCCUGUUCGCCUUCCUGACAGAUAAAUGCCUGGGAUCCACUCAUUCGUGCCUCACUGUGGCUCCUUGGUACUCAACCAAUUCAGCUUCCAUAUCACCCCUGGAAUAUUCCCCUGUCUCCCUUCCUCAGGGGCGGGUGCAGCAUUUUGGAGAUUUCCAAGGGAGAAGAGCAAGAUAAAAAUUGGGAAUCUGGGGGAGCAGUUUUAACAAUAAUAGCUACAUGAAAAUAAUAUUAAUAUCAUUUGCUUAUUAAGGACAAGCCAUGGGCCUCAGUGUUUUCAGCACUUCACCUACACUAACACGUUUAGGUAAUGUUAUCCUUCUCAUUUUAGAAAUGAUGCAACUGAGUCACAGAGAAGUUAAGUAAUCUGCCUGCCGACACUCGGGUCGAUGCCGCCUCAUUCCAUCACUCGGGCAAUGGAGCCAAAGGCCACGUUCACAACCACUAGGCUGUCCCAGCCCCUUGGUGUGAUUUGUCCCUUCCUAAGCUUCAAAGAUAGCCAGGCAGGAGUUAUUUUAUAGAAUGGAAGUAAUUUCUAUGGGGCCAAGCAAUAAUAAGGAAAUUGGAAGUCAAGGACUAUCUUCCGAAUGGAGAAGAAGCUCCAUCAACCACAGAAGGAAAUUAUGAUCACUCCUGCCAUCCUGCUCCUUUGUGUAUCCAGGAUGAAGGGGAGAAUUGGAGUCUUGCACAAUGAAAGGACAACAUUGCUGCCAAAACAAUCCAUCGUGACUGUAGACAUAUUUUCCACCCUCAUCCUGCAGGUUUUCUGCCAGUUGUUGGCCCCUCAUCAAUUUUGCUCCUGGGCAGUCUGAGGUGGAACAUAAUUUUGUAUAAAACAAAUUAUGCUCAACCUCACUUAUAAUCAGGGAAAUGUGAGUCAAAACCACAAUAAAAUAUCACCUCAUGCUGUUUAGGAUUGCUGUUAUCAAGUAGACAAGAAAGAAGUGUUGGUGAGGGUAAGGAGAAAAUAAAAUCUUUGCACACUGUUGGUGGGAAUGUAAGUUGGUAAAGCCACUAUCAAAGGCAAUAUGAAGGAUUCUCAAAAAAUUAAAAAUAAAAUUGCCAAAUGAUCCAUCAAUCCUUCUUCUGGACACAUAAUCAAAGGAAAUGAAAUCAGUAUCUCAAAUAGAUAUUUGCACCCCAUAUCCAUUGCAUCCUUUUUUGUAAUAGCCAAGAUAUGGGAGCAAUCGAAGUGUCCAUCAGCAAAUGAAUGGAUAAAGAAAUCAUGGUACAUAUAUACAGUGGAAUAUUAUUCAGACAUAAAAAGGAAGGAAAUCCUGUCAUUUCUGAAGACAUUAAUGAACCCAGAGGACAACUAAGUGAAAUAAGCUAGAUAUAGGAAGACAAAAACCACAUGAUCUCACUUACAUGUGGAAUCUAAAAAAGUCAAACUCAUAGAAGCAGAGAGUAGAAUAGUGGUUGUCAAGGGCUUGGGAUAAUUGAGGAGAUGUUGGUUAAAGGGUACAAACUUUAAGUUAUAAGAUGAACAAGUUCUGGCGCUCUACUAUAUAGUAUGGGUGAUGACGGAUGUGUUAAUUAAUUUGAUUGUGACAUUCAUUACACGAUGUAUAUGUAUAACAAAUCAUCACAUUGUACACCUUGGAUAUAUUCCAUCUUUAUUUAUCAAUUAAAUAUUUCAAAAUGUUUUUAAAAAGGAAGGCAAAAUGGGCCAAAAGGAGUAACUACUUUGUGUAGAGCUGAUGUCCAGGCUAGAAUUUCUAAACUUUUUCUGUAACCUAGAGUCUCUUUUAUACUUUUGACUUACCUAUUAUUCAUAACAGAUCUCAGGAACCCUCAUCACACUGCCUGUUGCUAAAAACUCAAAGGAGUUAUUGUUAUAUGAACAACCCAAGUUAAUGCAGUCAUUAAUGGAAAUACAGAGUCUUGACUGAAAGAGAUCAUUUCUAUUUUUUGUUGCGAUAGUCAGAUCAUAGCCAGUCACAUCUUUUAGGGAGGAUGCAAAUAGGCUGGAGUUCCUUCAGCAAACAGGAUGCUGUAGAAUAAAAUAUUCUACAUGAGAAUACUUAAACAAAUUGGAGUGCCUGGUGCCACCAUGUAAAUUGUGAGGUGUCAGACAGGCUAGUCUUUGGAUUAGAGAUUGGACUUACUCUCUGUGGCCCUAUGAGUAGAGCAGGUCCGGGUGGGGCUGGGCAGGGAGGAAGAUCAUCUUAAAGUGAUAGAUGUAGGCUCAGUGUGAGGAAGGAUUUCUAAGAGUUGGAGCUGCUCAGAGGUGAAAUAUCAAGAGAGUGCCCUUCAGGAGCAGUGUCUGAAGACAGACCACAUGGCCAAUAGGGAGAGAUAAGCGGGCUGGGUGGCCUUCAGUGCUUUGCUUCCAGUCUUGGGAGUCUUACUGAAAUAGCUAAUGACCACUCAACCCAAAGAACAGACACAUGUCUGCCAUGUCUCUCCGGGCUCAUCCUGCUUAUUGCAAGUGAGGCCCAAAGGUGGGGCUGUUAUUCCCUGAUGUUUCAGGUCCACGUGCAACUUAUUCCCAGAUCUUUUCUGAAAAAAAAAAAAGCAGAGAGACUGUUUGCCAGACAGCUGGACCAGAAUGAGGUAAAAGAAGAUAAGGCCCAACCGAGAAGUCAGAAAAGCUUCACUUUUCAUUAGCUCCACAUUCCAAAGUAAGAAAUCAAUGUGCUUAGCUGCAAUUCAAAGCAAUUAGUCUUUGUUCUCACACACUCUCAAAGAAUGACUUAAAGAAGCCCAAAUAAAUAUUUUCAGAAAAGACAGUAAAUUUGUGUUACUUAACCCAAGGAAUGCAAACAAGUGCAAUUAAAGUGAAUACCCAUAAAUAAAGUAAAUACAUUAGUCAGGAAAUGAAUUAAUUAGUGUUUAAUUACUAUCAAUUACUAAAAUCACUACAGAAUUACUUGUAGAAUGGACUGAAUCUCUUGCUCCUAUUAAUAAUUUCCAUUGCUAAUUGUAUGCACUUGUAUUUUCUUUGGGUGCAUCUUAGCAGAGCUAAUAGGAGGAAGCAACAGCACAGUGAACAAUGACAGGGACAUUUUUUUUCUUUGUUCAGUGAAAAACAAAAGUGAUUUGAAAUAUAUCUGCCUG